GUAUAUAACCGAAAAUACCAGAUAAAUCGAUAAGGCUAUAGAAAAUAUAAUUUAAGAACAUGCACCAUAUAAUAACAAGCAAUUAGAGUAGUACGAAAAAAUAAACAGAAAAUCGAGAUAAUCAUGAACUAAUUGGUUCCGUCUCCACUAGUGACCUACAAUUAUUUUUAGGCGCGCUGACAUUGGCGCCAUGCAGGAAGCCAUGCUGGCGAUCCGUGUGCCCUGUGAUCAGACAACCCAGGAUCGAUCCUGCGCGCUUGGACGGUCCAAAUCCGCUUUCUCCCUUAGGUAUGAUCAAACGGUCGAGAUCAAAUGCAAUGAACGGUCCAGAUUUAUUUCUCCCUUAAGCGCGAUCGAACGGUCGAGAUCAAAUGCGAUGAAUGAUUUAGAUUCAUUUCCUAUUUAGGUGCAAUCGGACGGACGAGAUCGAUCGCGAUUGACGGUCCAGAUUAAGUAGGAUGGGUAUAAAUAUUUGUAUCACACAGAACUCGAACUUUAGCCGUCAACCCUCCUACAGGAGAUAAAAAAUCAGACGCCAGAGAAGGAAGCCGACCGCUGACCGUCGCUGCACCAAAGCCACAUUUGACCACAAAAAAGGUAAAAAUUCUCCUACCCACUCGAAAUUCGAUUCCAAGCACCCUUGUAGCCAUAUCAAAGAAAGAUAAAUGGUGGGUGAGCCAAAAACUACGGGCAAAGCUCGACAGGGCCACCGGUAACCUCCUCCGAUGAGCCCCUUUUCAGUUUUCAUUUCGUGCGAUUCUUCCACCAUUGU
rnacentral:lncRNA from 1 species